UAGACAAUACCAAAUCUUGCAAUGACACAGAAAAUCUUUCCACAAAUGUUUCUGGUGGAAGGAGCUGGGAAACUACACUUUGUACUGCAACCAAAAGAACUGUUAAUAAGAGUGUUGAAGGGCAGAGGCUAUCUCCUUCAGGAUUGUUUGAGUUGCCACUUGAUUUUGUUAUUCACAAAUGCUUAGUGCAAGAAAUAAUACUUCAAUAUACCUAUGUCAGCAAGUUUACUGUAAAAUUACUAGAGGAAGGAUUUGAUUUGCAAGGACAUCUUCUUGCAUUGCGGCGGUACCACUUUAUGGAAAUAGCGGAUUGGGCAGAUUCAUUUAUCACAUCUCUGUGGAAUCAUGUAUAAUGCAUACCGAGUUACUUUUUCAAUUUGUUAUCUUUUCUGAGCUGAAAUUGCUGAUGAAAUUCCUUUGUGAUAUCCUUCAUUGCCACUCCUUGAAAGCACAGAAGUUGCGUGUCAUAGAGGCAGAUAGUAAGCUUCAAGAUAUUCAAUCUUGAAUUGUCUGUUCAAAAGUCAUCGUAUGAACAUAUGACCGCAACAAGGAUAGAUUAUUUGUCUACAUCAAAGAACAGAAUCGUGUGAACAUAUGACCGCAACAAUGGCUUGAAGUUUGAGAGUUUGAUAGAAUCAUUCUUUUUGGUAUUGUGUAGCUUUCUGUUUUUGUUGCAUCCAAUUGCUUUUUGGUUUUAAAAGCUUUUGUGAUUGUGUAGCUUUCUGUUUUUUGUUUUAGAAGUUUUUGUGAUUGGUUGCUAUUUGGUACUUGGUUUUAUUUGGGAGUUCUGAAGCAACUAUUGGGUUUUUCAGUGUUUGGGGCCUAUCUAUAGUUCUUCAUUUUUUUGUAAUCGCUCCAAGUUUUCAGUCGAAGAUUUUGGAUAAAUAAAAGUUUUCUUGAAUAA